GCAAGACUCUGCGUGCACGUGUGUGUGUGUGUGUGUGUGUGUGUGUGUGUGUGUGUGUGUGUGUAGCUGGGGAUCCAACCGAAAACCUUCUGCAUGAGAACUGGUGCAGGAGAGAUGGCUGCUUUACAUAUGUCAGCUUCACGAUGCCUGGGGAAGUGGCUGUGCUAAGCUGUAACAACAGCGCUCCAUGCCACCAGGCAGCAAAUGGAUUUUGGUUCCGCUUUAAUUUCUAGCAAACGGCCAUGCCUACGCCACAUCCAUCAGCAGGAGCCGAUUCCACUGCUGAAUUAACAGCCUUGUUUAAUGGCCGCCUUGCUGCUCAUCACACCUCUGUUUGAUUAAAUUGUUAUAUAAAGAGAAAUGUUUUG